UACGUAGGGUGCAAGCGUUGUCCGGAAUUAUUGGGCGUAAAGAGCUCGUAGGCGGUCUGUCGCGUCGGCUGUGAAAACCCGGGGCUCAACCCCGGGCCUGCAGUCGAUACGGGCAGACUAGAGUGCGGUAGGGGAGACUGGAAUUCCUGGUGUAGCGGUGAAAUGCGCAGAUAUCAGGAGGAACACCGGUGGCGAAGGCGGGUCUCUGGGCCGUAACUGACGCUGAGGAGCGAAAGCGUGGGGAUCAAACAGG
rnacentral:rRNA from 1 species